AUUAGAACGCUGGCGGCAUGCCUUACACAUGCAAGCCGAACGGCAGCACGGGAGCUUGCUCCUGGUGGCGAGUGGCGAACGGGUGAGUAAUACAUCGGAACGUACCCUGAAGUGGGGAUAACGUAGGCGAAAAGUUACGCUAAAUACCGCAUAUUCUGUGAGCAGGAAAGAGGGGGAUCGCAAGACCUCUUGCUUUAGGAGCGGCCGAUGUCGGAUUAGCUAGUUGGUGAGGUAAAGGCUCACCAAGGCGACGAUCCGUAGCGGGUCUGAGAGGAUGAUCCGCCACACUGGGACUGAGACACGGCCCAGACUCCUACGGGAGGCAGCAGUGGGGAAUUUUGGACAAUGGGCGGC
rnacentral:rRNA from 1 species